UACAGAGGGGGCUAGCGUUAUUCGGAAUUAUUGGGCGUAAAGGGCUCGUAGGCGGUCUGUCGCGUCGGAUGUGAAAACCCAGGGCUCAACCCUGGGCCUGCAUUCGAUACGGGCAGACUAGAGUUCGGUAGGGGAGACUGGAAUUCCUGGUGUAGCGGUGAAAUGCGCAGAUAUCAGGAGGAACACCGGUGGCGAAGGCGGGUCUCUGGGCCGAUACUGACGCUGAGGAGCGAAAGCGUGGGGAGCGAACAGG
rnacentral:rRNA from 1 species